rnacentral:rRNA from 1 species
UACGUAGGGUGCAAGCGUUGUCCGGAAUUAUUGGGCGUAAAGAGCUCGUAGGCGGUCUGUCACGUCGGCUGUGAAAACCCGAGGCUCAACCUCGGGCCUGCAGUCGAUACGGGCAAACUAGAGUACUGCAGGGGAGACUGGAAUUCCUGGUGUAGCGGUGAAAUGCGCAGAUAUCAGGAGGAACACCGGUGGCGAAGGCGGGUCUCUGGGCCGUAACUGACGCUGAGGAGCGAAAGCAUGGGGAGCGAACAGG